UACGUAGGAUCCAAGCGUUGUCCGGAUUUAUUGGGCGUAAAGGGCUCGUAGGCGGUUUGUCACGUCGGGAGUGAAAACUCGGGGCUCAACCCCGAGCCUGCUUCCGAUACGGGCAGACUAGAGGUAUGCAGGGGAGAAUGGAAUUCCUGGUGUAGCGGUGAAAUGCGCAGAUAUCAGGAGGAACACCGGUGGCGAAGGCGGUUCUCUGGGCAUUACCUGACGCUGAGGAGCGAAAGUGUGGGGAGCGAACAGG
rnacentral:rRNA from 1 species